rnacentral:lncRNA from 1 species
UGAAACUUUUGAAACCAUGAGGCCAUGGUGGGAUGUCUCUGAGGCAUGGUCUGCAGUAUCUCCUGGAUCCUCUCAGUCACCCAGGCCCAUGGGAGAGACCUGCGCUCUACCAUCAGGGAAAACACAGAAGUAUGAAGUAUGCCAAGCGGGUACUUUCCUUUUCAAACAUGGUGGAGACAAGGUAAAAACAUCCCAUUUGUUAGGUAGAUUUCAACGUAGAAAGUUUGCACAAUGUAGGUCAAUGUGGCUGACAGAGUCCUGGGAAUGGGUACUCCAGCUUGGAUCCAGAAGUUAAUAUCAGUUCCUUCUCCAUUACUAAAGACCUUGGUGACAUUGAGGGGUUGCAGAAGAUUCAUGACUUCCUUCAUGAUAGCCCUGGCCUUGUCACUGCCAGUGAACUGCAGUCCAGUGGGUAAGAAGGUUCCUGAGUCAGCUUCCAUCACCAAGCUGUACUUGGAAAUAUUUGC